rnacentral:rRNA from 1 species
AGCCAUGCAUGUCUAAGUAUAAGCAAUUAUACAGCGAAACUGCGAAUGGCUCAUUAUAUAAGUUAUCGUUUAUUUGAUAGUACCUUACUACUUGGAUAACCGUGGUAAUUCUAGAGCUAAUACAUGCUAAAAAUCCCGACUUCGGAAGGGAUGUAUUUAUUAGAUUAAAAACCAAUGCCCUCUGGGCUCCUUGGUGAUUCAUGAUAACUCUUCGAAUCGCACGGCCUUGCGCCGGCGAUGGUUCAUUCAAAUUUCUUCCCUAUCAACUUUCGAUGUUUGGGUAUUGGCCAAACAUGGUUGCAACGGGUAACGGAGGGUUAGGGCUCGACCCCGGAGAAGGAGCCUGAGAAACGGCUACUACAUCCAAGGAAGGCAGCAGGCGCGCAAAUUACCCAAUCCCGAUUCGGGGAGGUAGUGACAAUAAAUACUGAUACAGGGCUCUUUUGGGUCUUGUAAUUGGAAUGAGUACAAUUUAAAUCUCUUAACGAGGAACAAUUGGAGGGCAAGUCUGGUGCCAGCAGCCGCGGUAAUUCCAGCUCCAAUAGCGUAUAUUAAAGUUGUUGUGGUUAAAAAGCUCGUAGUUGAACCUUGGGCCUGGCUGGCCGGUCCGCCUCACCGCGUGCACUGGUCCGGCCGGGCCUUUCCCUCUGUGGAACCCCAUGCCCUUCACUGGGCGUGGCGGGGAAACAGGACGUUUACUUUGAAAAAAUUAGAGUGCUCCAGGCAGGCCUAUGCUCGAAUACAUUAGCAUGGAAUAAUGAAAUAGGACGCGUGGUUCUAUUUUGUUGGUUUCUAGGACCGCCGUAAUGAUUAAUAGGGACAGUCGGGGGCAUCAGUAUUCAAUUGUCAGAGGUGAAAUUCUUGGAUUUAUUGAAGACUAACUACUGCGAAAGCAUUUGCCAAGGAUGUUUUCAUUAAUCAGGAACGAAAGUUAGGGGAUCGAAGACGAUCAGAUACCGUCGUAGUCUUAACCAUAAACUAUGCCGACUAGGGAUCGGACGAUGUUAUUUUUUGACGC